rnacentral:rRNA from 1 species
GAUGAACGCUGGCGGCGUGCCAAAUACAUGCAAGUCGAGCGAACGGACGAGAAGCUUGCUUCUCUGAUGUUAGCGGCGGACGGGUGAGUAACACGUGGAUAACCUACCUAUAAGACUGGGAUAACUUCGGGAAACCGGAGCUAAUACCGGAUAAUAUUUUGAACCGCAUGGUUCAAAAGUGAAAGACGGUCUUGCUGUCACUUAUAGAUGGAUCCGCGCUGCAUUAGCUAGUUGGUAAGGUAACGGCUUACCAAGGCAACGAUGCAUAGCCGACCUGAGAGGGUGAUCGGCCACACUGGAACUGAGACACGGUCCAGACUCCUACGGGAGGCAGCAGUAGGGAAUCUUCCGCAAUGGGCGAAAGCCUGACGGAGCAACGCCGCGUGAGUGAUGAAGGUCUUCGGAUCGUAAAACUCUGUUAUUAGGGAAGAACAUAUGUGUAAGUAACUGUGCACAUCUUGACGGUACCUAAUCAGAAAGCCACGGCUAACUACGUGCCAGCAGCCGCGGUAAUACGUAGGUGGCAAGCGUUAUCCGGAAUUAUUGGGCGUAAAGCGCGCGUAGGCGGUUUUUUAAGUCUGAUGUGAAAGCCCACGGCUCAACCGUGGAGGGUCAUUGGAAACUGGAAAACUUGAGUGCAGAAGAGGAAAGUGGAAUUCCAUGUGUAGCGGUGAAAUGCGCAGAGAUAUGGAGGAACACCAGUGGCGAAGGCGACUUUCUGGUCUGUAACUGACGCUGAUGUGCGAAAGCGUGGGGAUCAAACAGGAUUAGAUACCCUGGUAGUCCACGCCGUAAACGAUGAGUGCUAAGUGUUAGGGGGUUUCCGCCCCUUAGUGCUGCAGCUAACGCAUUAAGCACUCCGCCUGGGGAGUACGACCGCAAGGUUGAAACUCAAAGGAAUUGACGGGGACCCGCACAAGCGGUGGAGCAUGUGGUUUAAUUCGAAGCAACGCGAAGAACCUUACCAAAUCUUGACAUCCUUUGACAACUCUAGAGAUAGAGCUUUCCCCUUCGGGGGACAAAGUGACAGGUGGUGCAUGGUUGUCGUCAGCUCGUGUCGUGAGAUGUUGGGUUAAGUCCCGCAACGAGCGCAACCCUUAAGCUUAGUUGCCAUCAUUAAGUUGGGCACUCUAAGUUGACUGCCGGUGACAAACCGGAGGAAGGUGGGGAUGACGUCAAAUCAUCAUGCCCCUUAUGAUUUGGGCUACACACGUGCUACAAUGGACAAUACAAAGGGCAGCGAAACCGCGAGGUCAAGCAAAUCCCAUAAAGUUGUUCUCAGUUCGGAUUGUAGUCUGCAACUCGACUACAUGAAGCUGGAAUCGCUAGUAAUCGUAGAUCAGCAUGCUACGGUGAAUACGUUCCCGGGUCU